rnacentral:lncRNA from 1 species
GCCUGACUCAGAAACCCAGGAAUGCCACAGUCAUAUUCAAGAACAAGCUGUCGUGUGCGGGGACAGCAGGUGUCCUGACAUUAAAAAGCAGAUGUCACAGAUCUAAGAAGAGCUGGGGCAGGAAAGAGCCAACAGAUAAGGACUCUCCCCUCCAAGCGGUACUCAGCGGAAAAGCAGAUUUCCCCCAGUCGCCCACUAGCUGUAUUGGAUAGUAUUGGACUCCAGGAGGAUGGAAAGAAGGAAACAUUGAUUUGCCUCAUGCUGAGCUGGAUGCUUUCACACACGUCAACUGUAUGUGUUGCUGUGGACUGUAUAUUUGUAUCUUCCCCUCCUCCCUACCCAAAUUUAUAUGUUGAAGCCCUCUUCACCCCCCCCCACCCAAAUUUAUAUGUUGGAGACCUAACCACCCUCCCGACCCCUGCAUGAUAGUGUUUGGAGGUGGGGCCUUUGGGAGAUAAUUAGGUUCAGAUGAUGUCCUGAGGAUGGGCCCCUCAUGAUGGGAUGAGUGCUUUUGUUAAGAAGAGGACAUGAUCAGAGCUCUCUCUCUCUCUCUCUGCCCUGUGAGGACUCACUGGGAAGGCAGCAGUCCACGAAUCAAAGAAGAGGGUUCUCACCAGGAACUGAGUAUGUCAGAACCUUGAUCUUGGAUUUCCCAGACUCCAGAAAUGUGAGAAAUAAAUGUUAUUUAACCCACA